UACGUAGGGGGCGAGCGUUGUCCGGAAUUACUGGGCGUAAAGGGUGCGUAGGUGGUUUCUUAAGUCAGAGGUGAAAGGCUACGGCUCAACCGUAGUAAGCCUUUGAAACUGGGAAACUUGAGUGCAGGAGAGGAGAGUGGAAUUCCUAGUGUAGCGGUGAAAUGCGUAGAUAUUAGGAGGAACACCAGUUGCGAAGGCGGCUCUCUGGACUGUAACUGACACUGAGGCACGAAAGCGUGGGGAGCAAACAGGAUUAGAUACCCUGGUAGUCCCUGAG
rnacentral:rRNA from 1 species